rnacentral:rRNA from 1 species
AGUGAAGCGGCAAGAGCUCAGAUUUGGAAUCGUGUUUCGGCACGAGUUGUAAAUUGCAGGUUGGAGUCUUUGUGGAAGCGUGUGUCCAAGUCCCUUGGAACAGGGCGCCAUUGAGGGUGAGAGCCCCGUGGGAUGCGCGCGGAAGCAACAAGGCCCUUCUGACGAGUCGAGUUGUUUGGGAAUGCAGCUCUAAGCGGGUGGUAAAUUCCAUCUAAGGCUAAAUACUGGCGAGAGACCGAUAGCGAACAAGUACUGUGAAGGAAAGAUGAAAAGCACUUUGAAAAGAGAGUGAAACAGCACGUGAAAUUGUUGAAAGGGAAGGGUAUUGGGCCCGACAUGGGGAUUGCGCAUCUCUGCUCCUUGUGGGCGGGGCGCUGUGCUUUUCCUGGGCCAGCAUCGGUUUUUGCCGCAGGAGAAGGGGUACUGGAAUGUGGCUCCUCGGAGUGUUAUAGCCAGUGCCAGAUGCUGCGUGCGGGGACCGAGGGCUGCGACAUCUGUCUCGGAUGCUGGCACAACGGCGCAAUACCGCCCGUCUUG